AAAAAAGGUAAGCUACUAAGAGCGAAUGGUGGAUGCCUUGACUGGUAAAGGCGAUGAAGGACGUACUAGACUGCGAUAAGCUACGGGGAGCUGUCAAGAAGCUUUGAUCCGUAGAUUUCCGAAUGGGGCAACCCAAUGUAUAGAGAUAUACAUUACCUAUAUAGGAGCGAACGAGGGGAAUUGAAACAUCUUAGUACCCUCAGGAAAAGAAAUCAAUAGAGAUUGCGUCAGUAGCGGCGAGCGAAAGCGCAAGAGGGCAAACCCAGUGCUUGCACUGGGGGUUGUAGGACUGCAAUGUGCAAGAGGUGAGUUUAGCAGAACAUUCUGGAAAGUAUAGCCAUAGAGGGUGAUAGUCCCGUAUGCGAAAAACAAACCUUAGCUAGCAGUAUCCUGAGUAGGGCGGGACACGAGAAAUCCUGUCUGAAGCUGGGUCGACCACGAUCCAACCCUAAAUACUAAUACCAGAUCGAUAGUGCACAAGUACCGUGAGGGAAAGGUGAAAAGAACUGAGGUGAUCAGAGUGAAAUAGAACCUGAAACCAUUUGCUUACAAUCAUUCAGAGCCCUAUGUAGCAAUACAGGGUGAUGGACUGCCUUUUGCAUAAUGAGCCUGCGAGUUGUGGUGUCUGGCAAGGUUAAGCAAACGCGAAGCCGUAGCGAAAGCGAGUCUGAAUAGGGCGCUUAGUCAGAUGCUGCAGACCCGAAACGAAGUGAUCUAUCCAUGAGCAAGUUGAAGCUAGUGUAAGAACUAGUGGAGGACUGAACCCAUAGGCGUUGAAAAGCCCCGGGAUGACUUGUGGAUAGGGGUGAAAGGCCAAUCAAACUUCGUGAUAGCUGGUUCUCUCCGAAAUAUAUUUAGGUAUAGCGUUGUGUCGUAAUAUAAGGGGGUAGAGCACUGAAUGGGCUAGGGCAUACACCAAUGUACCAAACCCUAUCAAACUCCGAAUACCUUAUAUGUAAUCACAGCAGUCAGGCGGCGAGUGAUAAAAUCCGUCGUCAAGAGGGAAACAACCCAGACUACCAGCUAAGGUCCCUAAAUCUUACUUAAGUGGAAAACGAUGUGAAGUUACUUAAACAACCAGGAGGUUGGCUUAGAAGCAGCCAUCCUUUAAAGAAAGCGUAAUAGCUCACUGGUCUAGUGAUUUUGCGCGGAAAAUAUAACGGGGCUAAAGUAAGUACCGAAGCUGUAGACUUGCGCACAACUUAGAUUAUUUAAGUUUAGAAUAUGAGAAACUAAGUUAUAUGUUUAGUUAUAUUUUUACUGAUUUUUAUAGAGUAAAGAUAGAAAUAAAACUUAGUAAAAUCAGUAAAAAUAUUCUUAGACUAAAGUUAAGUAGUUUAAGUUGUGUGCAAGUGGUAGGAGAGCGUUCUAUUUGCGUCGAAGGUAUACCGGUAAGGAGUGCUGGAGCGAAUAGAAGUGAGCAUGCAGGCAUGAGUAGCGAUAAUUAAUGUGAGAAUCAUUAACGCCGUAAACCCAAGGUUUCCUACGCGAUGCUCGUCAUCGUAGGGUUAGUCGGGUCCUAAGUCGAGUCCGAAAGGGGUAGACGAUGGCAAAUUGGUUAAUAUUCCAAUACCAACAUUAGUGUGCGAUGGAAGGACGCUUAGGGCUAAGGGGGCUAGCGGAUGGAAGUGCUAGUCUAAGGUCGUAGGAGGUUAUACAGGCAAAUCCGUAUAACAAUACUCCGAGAACUGAAAGGCUUUUUGAAGUCUUCGGAUGGAUAGAAGAACCCCUGAUGCCGUCGAGCCAAGAAAAGUUUCUAAGUUUAGCUAAUGUUGCCCGUACCGUAAACCGACACAGGUGGGUGGGAUGAGUAUUCUAAGGCGCGUGGAAGAACUCUCUUUAAGGAACUCUGCAAAAUAGCACCGUAUCUUCGGUAUAAGGUGUGGUUCGCUUCGUAUUAGGAUUUACUCCGAAAGCGAAGAAACUUACAACAAAGAGUCCCUCCCGACUGUUUACCAAAAACACAGCACUCUGCUAACUCGUAAGAGGAUGUAUAGGGUGUGACGCCUGCCCGGUGCUCGAAGGUUAAUUGAUGGGGUUAGCAUUAGCGAAGCUCUUGAUCGAAGCCCGAGUAAACGGCGGCCGUAACUAUAACGGUCCUAAGGUAGCGAAAUUCCUUGUCGGUUAAAUACCGACCUGCAUGAAUGGCGUAACGAGAUGGGAGCUGUCUCAAAGAGGGAUCCAGUGAAAUUGUAGUGGAGGUGAAAAUUCCUCCUACCCGCGGCAAGACGGAGAGACCCCGUGGACCUUUACUACAGCUUGACACUGCUAUUUGGAUAAGAAUGUGCAGGAUAGGUGG
rnacentral:rRNA from 1 species